rnacentral:rRNA from 1 species
GACGAGCGCUGGCGGCAGGCCUAACACAUGCAAGUCGAGCGGACCUUUCGGGGUCAGCGGCGGACGGGUGAGUAACGCGUGGGAAUAUGCCCUUCUCUACGGAAUAGUCCUGGGAAACUGGGGGUAAUACCGUAUACGCCCUUUGGGGGAAAGAUUUAUCGGGGAAGGAUUAGCCCGCGUUGGAUUAGGUAGUUGGUGGGGUAAUGGCCUACCAAGCCGACGAUCCAUAGCUGGUUUGAGAGGAUGAUCAGCCACACUGGGACUGAGACACGGCCCAGACUCCUACGGGAGGCAGCAGUGGGGAAUCUUAGACAAUGGGGGCAACCCUGAUCUAGCCAUGCCGCGUGAGUGAUGAAGGCCUUAGGGUUGUAAAGCUCUUUCAGCUGGGAAGAUAAUGACGGUACCAGCAGAAGAAGCCCCGGCUAACUCCGUG